GCCUUGGCGGCGGAAGUCGGAAGCAGUGAACAGGGGGUCGGCCCGGACCUAGGGAGGCGGGCCGAGGGCGAGGAAGCUGCGGCCCGUGGCGGUCCUGGGCUGGAGGAAGUGGCGGUCGCUGCGGCUGCGGCGCAAAGACGGCGGGCAUGGUGGGGCGAGAAAAGGAGCUCUCUAUCCACUUUGUUCCCGGGAGCUGCCGGCUAGUGGAGGAGGAAGUUAACCUCCCCAGUAGGCGGGUUUUGAUUACUGGUGCCACUGGGCUUCUGGGCAGAGCUGUGUAUAAAGAAUUUAAGCAGAAUAAUUGGCAUGCCUUUGGCUGUGGUUUUAGAAGAGCAAGACCAAAAUUUGAACAGGUUAAUCUUUUGGAUUCUGAAGCGGUUCAUCACAUCAUUCAUGAUUUUCAGCCCCAUGUCAUAGUACAUUGUGCAGCCGAGAGAAGGCCAGAUGUUGUUGAAAAUCAGCCAGAUGCUGCUUCGCAACUUAAUGUGGAUGCUUCUGGGAAUUUAGCAAAGGAAGCAGCUUUAAUUGGAGCAUUUCUAAUCUACAUUAGCUCAGAUUAUGUAUUUGAUGGAACAAAUCCACCUUACAGAGAGGAAGAUGUACCAAGUCCCCUAAAUCUGUAUGGCAAAACAAAAUUAGAAGGAGAAAAGGCUGUCCUAGAGAACAAUUUAGGAGCUGCUGUUUUGAGAAUUCCUGUUUUGUAUGGAGAAGUCGAAAAGCUUGACGAAAGUGCUGUGACUGUUAUGUUUGAUAAAGUGCAGUUCAGUAACAAGUCUGCAAACAUGGACCACUGGCAGCAGAGGUUCCCCACACACGUCAAAGAUGUAGCCACUGUGUGUCGCCAGUUAGCAGAAAAGAGGAUGCUGGAUCCAUCAAUUAAAGGAACCUUUCACUGGUCUGGCAAUGAACAGAUGACUAAGUAUGAAAUGGCAUGUGCAAUCGCAGAUGCUUUCAAUCUCCCCAGCAGUCACUUAAGACCUAUAACUGACAGUCCUGUCUUAGGAGCACAACGUCCAAGAAAUGCUCAGCUUGACUGCUCCAAAUUAGAGACCUUGGGCAUUGGCCAGCGAACACCAUUUCGAAUUGGAAUCAAAGAAUCACUCUGGCCUUUCCUCAUUGACAAGAGAUGGAGACAAACGGUCUUUCAUUAGUUUACCUGCAGUCAACCGCGAUCCAGAAGCAGAUGAUCCUCCUUCUGACAUAUGGUCAGAAGGACAGUAGUAGCCUAAUGUUACGUCCCAAUGCCUACGUCAUUCACCUCACUUCAUCUCAUCACAUAGGCAUUUUCUCAUCUAUCAUCACAAGAAGAAGGACUCCUCUUCACUUCCUUAAGAUUAGAAAUCCUGAUUUGGCUAACUGAUCUGGUCAGUAAUGAGCACCAAAUACUGACUGGGAGACUCAGCAAUGAUUGAGAUUCUUACAUCUUGGCACUAAGGAAUCAGGCUUGAGUUCUGGAUGCUGGGAAGUUCAGGAUCAAGUCACCAGCAUUGUCAUAUUCUGGUAAUUGGCAGUUGAUCAAUUGGCACGAUCCUGAUGGGCUGUUUUGGUCCAACCUUGUGUGUGAUAGAGCUCCAGGAAGAGGGAACCUAGAGGAGAUUCCAGAGGCCUAGGAAGUGACCGAGUCACAAGAUAGAAGGACCCUUGUUCUCUAAAUCUCCAUGUGGAGGAGAGUGGCCUACUCACCAGGAACACUUUCAUGGGAUGUAACAGUUUUAUUUUUAAGAGCAGCUGGCAGUACCCUAAGGAAUACAGUUGGAGAGGCAAGUUAGGACAAUGUCCUUGCCUGUAUUUGUGUUUUGCAUUUCCAUAGUCCAGAUGAUGUUGUAUCCAGAUGCUAAUGUCCAGAUGCCCCAGCAAUUGAUAUACUUAUAUAAGUUAAGCUACAGGAUCCUAUUCCUUUGCCACUUUAUUUACUAGCAAACGUUUAAAAUGGAAUGCUCUUCUUUGUCUGAACACGUACUAUCAAAGUUUUUCAUCUACCGAGAGUGGUAGAAAACAUAACUAACAAGUCUUAUUUCUUUUAGAACUAUUUCGGUAUGUCUCAAAAUAUGGGAUAUUUUGGUGUAUUCUCAAUGUCAUUGGUACUAGCCUCUCACACCUAAGUGAUCAUCUGGCUUUCUCUAACAUAGUUCUUUGAUUUCAUUGAGAACAGCCCUUUGUCAGAUUUAGGUGGCAUAUGUACUAAUCAUAGUUUAAUUGGUCUCUCCUGGUCUGUGUUGGUACAGGUGUGAUGCAAAUAAAACAUAUAUGUGCAAUGGAAGUGAUUGGAAUUAUGGUCAACUGACAGGAGCCAUCAACCUUUCAGUGCUCGAAUAGCUGGUUUAUUGGAUAAGACAGGACAAUUACCACAACUGGCCUGUCAAGAUGGUUAGAGCUCCCUACAGGCAUUGAGGCAGGUGUUUGUGCCUUCAGUUUAAUCUCUUCCUUUCUGGUUCCAGGCUGGAUGCAGCUCUUGGCGCCAGCAGAAGUGUUUAUACAGAAAUGAGGGUCACCUGGAUGCCCAGCCCAGUGGAUCUGUGUGCUCAUUGCCAAACAAGGCAUGAGCUCCCUCUAAUGCAAGCUCAAUUUCUCUGGGGUAAAGGAGCUGGUGCCAAAGGUGGACAUGGAAGAAGGAGACAGUGGGGAUCUGCACAUGAAUGAAGAGACCUGACUGUGGCAUAUUAGAGGAUUUAUUAAAGGAUUGGACAGUUUUCCUUUAUGGUCUUUGUGAAGCCUCGGAGUUACUAACUGCCAGUGCAAUAUGGUAUCACAAAGAUAACAGCCUUUACUAGAAGUUCAGUUUUCUAUUCCUACCUUGGAAAGCAGCAGCUUAACAAACCCAAGUGGUCAACGUUUAUGGUACUCCUGUCUUUCUUCUAGGACCCUUUGAAAUAUAUGUCUUUUGAAUUUAGUUUUGCUGGAAAAAUCUGCAUCCAAUUUGAAUGAAAUUGAAUAUGUUUCAGGGCUCAAGCAGCAUGCCUUCCAUCUGAAGCAAAAUGGAGAUGAAUUUCAAUUAGAUGUUCCCAUUAUAAUCUGUCUCCACCUGUAGUUUUCCAUAAAAAUUGCUAGGAAGUGUGGUAUAAUGUAUGAUCAGGAUUUGCCCACUGGCAUCAGUGUCCCAUUAUCUUAGUAAAAAAGCACAAAAUAAUUAGUCUGAUGCAUAUAGAUAGCAGCUUCUUACAGCGAGUGACUUUAAUUGUGGUGAGUAAUAUAUACGGAGUUUGAAGUAUUAUAUAUUUCCCUCCCAAGAAGAUACCAAUUACUAAUUCAGUUGACAAAGUAACGAUAUUUCAGAAGAUUUAAUGCAAACUGAACAUUGUAGUCAAUAGCCACUGUAAAAUGUCCAUUUUAUGGCCUUAUUUUUGCUUGAGCUUAAUUUAUGGUAAUUUGGUAGUUGCAUAUAGCCUGGAAGUAUGCUGUUGGCUUGAAUUAGUACUUGGGUAUUGCAUAAAUCAUACUGAAUGUGUUGGCUUCAUCUAAUGCCCUUCUUUCUCCUACAGUUCGAAUCCUUCUUAUCUUGUCAUUUCUCUCCCCUCAAUCCUACCUGUAAAUUCAUGGGGCUCUAAGAGCUCAGUAUUUAGGAGAUCACUUCCUCAUAGAGUAGCAUCUUCCAAAUACCAGAUAGAGUUCUGUGCUUCACAGGGAGGGAAUUUAGCAAAAAAUUUUUUUGUGGGAUAGAGUAUUUGUAUUAUCCCACCUUAAGUGCUUUAAAGGAAAAUACAAUUCCCUCUCCCUGUCCUAUUUGCCUCUAAAAUCCAUGCUAAUAUAAAAGGCAAGGUUUAAAAGUAUUAUAUUAUUUGAACUAAUUUUUCCAGUGCUGGUUUAUAUUAGUUUUUUCAAUUUUGUUUUUUAAUCUGAAACAUAGGACAAAUAUGCCAGCAUGCUCUAAGCUCACAGAUAAUCUACCUGGGGACUAAAUAAUAUGAAUCAUCCAACUGUAUGGUAAGAUUUAGUUUAGGUGACUGGUCUUCAAAGAAAUACAUUGGAUGUUUCAGAACUAAUGAGAUAAUUGCCUAUGUUCUGCUGUUCUUUUAUACUUGUUGAUAAAGAUUUUGAAUUUUUAGUUGUGGUUAGUCAUUUUUAAAAAUGAUUAAAAAUUUUAAGUCAAUAAAUGUCACAUAGACAUCUAAUUGUGAGCAACCUCAUUUUAAAUGUUGUAGGAAACCAUGUUUUAAAAUGUAGGUUCUUCUCUUGAACCCAUAAAAUCAUAAUACAAUAUUGACAUCUCUUCCUAAGUUGGAUAACGAUAUUCUUCUAAUUUAGUUACACAACUCUCUUCCUUUACUUAUAAUCAUAAUAGUUAACAUCUGUACAUAAAUUAUACAGAACUUUUAUAGGCAUUACCAGUUUUAACCCACAUAUCACCCCCCCAUGUUGUAAGCAUUAUUAUCUACAAUUUAAAUGAAGAAACAAACAAAUUUAAAAUGGUAUAUUUUCUAAUUAUAAAAUGACAAAUGUUUAUUGUAGGAAAUCUCAAAAGUGUCAAAAGUACACAGGUGUUGUUGGUAAGACUGACCAAACAACAAUAUAGAAAGGACACAAAUUACCAAUAGCAUGAAUAAAAUAAGUCGAUAUCACUACAGACACUAAAGAAAAAAAGGACACUAAAGAAAUGCUACAAACAACUCUAUGCACAUGAAUUCAAUAUUCAAUAAUAAGAAAAAUGUACUAAUUCCUUAAAAAAUACUAUUACCAAACUCACUGAAGAUGAAAUAGGUAACCUGAAUACUCCUAUCACUUUAUUAAAAAGCUGAAUACAUAGUUUAAAACCUAUAAAAGAAAUCUAUGGCCCAGGUGGUCUGACUGGUGAAUUCUAGCAAACAUUUCAAGAAGAAUGAACAUAAAUUUUAUACAGUUUCUUUUUCCUUUGUCAAAAGUAUAAAUACACAGAUCAUUGGA